AUUGAACGCUGGCGGCAGGCUUAACACAUGCAAGUCGAGCGGAGAUGAGGUGCUUGCACCUUAUCUUAGCGGCGGACGGGUGAGUAAUGCUUAGGAAUCUGCCUAUUAGUGGGGGACAACAUUCCGAAAGGAAUGCUAAUACCGCAUACGCCCUACGGGGGAAAGCAGGGGAUCUUCGGACCUUGCGCUAAUAGAUGAGCCUAAGUCGGAUUAGCAAGUUGGUGGGGUAAAGGCCUACCAAGGCGACGAUCUGUAGCGGGUCUGAGAGGAUGAUCCGCCACACUGGGACUGAGACACGGCCCAGACUCCUACGGGAGGCAGCAGUGGGGAAUAUUGGACAAUGGGCGGAAGCCUGAUCCAGCCAUGCCGAGUGUGUGAAGAAGGCCUUUUGGUUGUAAAGCACUUUAAGCGAGGAGGAGGCUACUUAGAUUAAUACUCUAGGAUAGUGGACGUUACUCGCAGAAUAAGCACCGGCUAACUCUGUGCCAGCCGCCGCCGUAAGAC
rnacentral:rRNA from 1 species